rnacentral:rRNA from 1 species
CUAAGUUUGAUGGCGACCGGCGCACGGGUGAGUAACACGUAUCCAACCUGCCGAUGACUCGGGGAUAGCCUUUCGAAAGAAAGAUUAAUACCCGAUGGCAUAGUUCUUCCGCAUGGUUUGAUUAUUAAAGAAUUUCGGUUAUCGAUGGGGAUGCGUUCCAUUAGGCAGUUGGUGGGGUAACGGCCCACCAAACCUUCGAUGGAUAGGGGUUCUGAGAGGAAGGUCCCCCACAUUGGAACUGAGACACGGUCCAAACUCCUACGGGAGGCAGCAUG